UUGGCAGGAUUUAGAGACUGAUCAUUUCAAUUUAUGCCCAGAACAGGUAGGGCAGCAAUGAAAGCCUCUCCCACCCAACCCCACCCCUUCUCACCAGUGUGCCUCAACCCUGCCCUGGAGGGACCACCUGGAGGGCUGAGCAGGGAGUUCCCUCCUCUGCACAAUAAAAAGGCCCCA
ensembl:misc_RNA